CUUUGGUGCACUGCAAUUAUACAGGGCAAACUAACUUUAUUUUGUUCUGUUGUUGUGUUAUAACUUAGUACUGUGUUUGAUGAUCUCUGUCAGAUGAGAAGAUGAGGUGGAGGACAGUGGAGGAAGUUCCAUGGUGUAAUGGUCAUCACUCUGGGCUCUGGAUCCUGGUGUCCCUGGACUUAAUGGAGAUGAUAGGGGAUGAAAAGUUGUGUGCAUUUUUCUGACCACCAAGCCUGUCCUCCAGUACCCACCAACUUUAACCUCCACCAACAGUGCAUGUAUGAGGCCCCAGCUUCAGACUCUGACAUCUCCAUCAGUGUACUUCUUCAAGAAUUUAAACCCACCAGGACUAUCCAGAUUACAUUUAACUCUGUAAAUAAACAUUUUUCAGCCUGUUCAAUGUUAUAAAUGUUCUGUUUGGCCGUUAAAGGAGGUUUUCCUCACAUUUUGGUGUAUUUUAACCCUUUCAUGGUCUAAAUUCUUUGAACAGAUCUUGUGCUGUAAUCAAUGUCUAACUGAGUUUUUAUUUUCAUUGCAGUGGUUGAUUUUUCCUGAACAAGAUCAAUGAUUUUUUAAUACGUCUUUCUCCAGUUUUAUUUGCUCUACCUGUGGGUUUCAACUAUUAUAACUUUUUUCAUUUAAUAAAUGACUGAUAACACA